AGGACGAACGCUGGCGGCGUGCCUAACACAUGCAAGUCGAACGCGCUCCAUUCGGUAGCAAUACUGAUGAAGAGCGAGUGGCGAACGGGUGAGUAGCACGUGAGCAACCUGCCCCGAAGACCGGGACAACACCGGGAAACCGGUGCUAAUACCGGAUAUCCCUAUCGGACCGCAUGAUCUGAUAAGGAAAUGGAUUCCGCUUCGAGAGGGGCUCGCGGCCUAUCAGCUAGUUGGUGAGGUAACGGCCCACCAAGGCAUCGACGGGUAGCUGGUCUGAGAGGACGAUCAGCCACACUGGGACUGAGACACGGCCCAGACUCCUACGGGAGGCAGCAGUGGGGAAUCUUGCGCAAUGGGCGAAAGCCUGACGCAGCAACGCCGCGUGGAGGACGAAGGCUUUCUGAGUUGUAAACUCCUUUCAGCAGGGACGAUAGUGACGGUACCUGCAGAAGAAGCACCGGCCAACUACGUGCCAGCAGCCGUA
rnacentral:rRNA from 1 species